UACGUAGGGCGCAAGCGUUGUCCGGAAUUAUUGGGCGUAAAGCGUGCGCAGGCGGUUUUGUAAGCCAGAUGUGAAAGCCCCGGGCUCAACCUGGGAAUGGCAUUUGGGACUGCAAGGCUUGAGUGCGGCAGAGGAGACUGGAAUUCCUGGUGUAGCAGUGAAAUGCGUAGAUAUCAGGAGGAAUACCGAUGGCGAAGGCAGGUCUCUGGGCUGACACUGACGCUCAUGCACGAAAGCGUGGGGAGCAAACAGG
rnacentral:rRNA from 1 species